rnacentral:misc_RNA from 1 species
UCAAAACAGCGGACUUCGGUCCUUGCUGCACCCUUGUCUUUUGCGUACCGUAUGUUUCCUCGGCGGGCUUGCCUGCCGGUUGGACACUAUCAAACCUUUUUGUAGUUGCAAUCAGCGUCAGAAAAUAAUAAUAAUUA